UACGGAGGAUCCGAGCGUUAUCCGGAUUUAUUGGGUUUAAAGGGAGCGUAGGUGGAUUGUUAAGUCAGUUGUGAAAGUUUGCGGCUCAACCGUAAAAUUGCAGUUGAAACUGGCAGUCUUGAGUACAGUAGAGGUGGGCGGAAUUCGUGGUGUAGCGGUGAAAUGCUUAGAUAUCACGAAGAACUCCGAUUGCGAAGGCAGCUUACCAGUCUGCGACUGACGCUCAGGCACGAAAGUGUGGGUAUCGAACAGG
rnacentral:rRNA from 1 species